GGGAGGGUGGUCUAGCUUGGUAUGAUUCCUGGUUUGGGACCAGGUGGCCGGGGGUUCGAAUCCCCCCUCUCCCA
rnacentral:tRNA from 2 species